GUCGGUGUGUCGGAAUUGGCAGACGAGGUAGACUCAAAAUCUAUUUCCGGUAACGGAGUGUGGGUUCAAGUCCCACCACCGGCA
rnacentral:tRNA from 1 species